rnacentral:rRNA from 1 species
GAUGAACGCUGGCGGCGUGCUUAACACAUGCAAGUCGAACGAUGAAGCCCAGCUUGCUGGGUGGAUUAGUGGCGAACGGGUGAGUAACACGUGAGUAACCUGCCCUUGACUCUGGGAUAAGCCCGGGAAACUGGGUCUAAUACCGGAUAGGAGCGCCUGUCGCAUGACGGGUGCUGGAAAGAUUUUUCGGUCAUGGAUGGACUCGCGGCCUAUCAGCUUGUUGGUGAGGGAAUGGCUCACCAAGGCGACGACGGGUAGCCGGCCUGAGAGGGUGACCGGCCACAAUGGGACUAAGACACGGACCAGACGCCUACGGGAGGCAGCAGGGGGGAAUAUUGCACAAUGGGCGGAAGCCUGAUGCAGCGACGCCGCGUGAGGGAUGACGGCCUUCGAGUUGUAAACCUCUGUCAGUAGGGAAGAAGCGGAAGUGACGGUACCUGCAGAAGAAGCACCGGCUAACUACGUG